CAGACUCUUGUUUCACAAUUUCUAGAGAAGAUGUGCCUUUUCUUGCAUUUCCAGCACCUAUUACUGUUUUUGUGAAUUUUUUGUCAAUUCUGAUGGGAUAAUAAUAAUAACAACAACAACAAGAUCAACAACUUUAUUCAUAACCUGCCCUAUUUCUCUGAGAAGACUCAGGGCAGUUUCCAACAAAGGAUGGCAAACAUUCAGUGCCAUAAAACAAUACAAAAUGAACAAAUAACCCCAUGAAUAAAGCAUCUAUAAUAAAUUAUAACAAUUAGUUCUGCCAUUCCUGUAUUUCUCAGUUUAAGAGCUCUUACUGUCGGGAAGUUCUUCCUAAUGUUCAGGUGGGAUCUCUUUUCCUGGAGUUUGAAUCCAUUGCUCCAUUGUGUCCAAAUCUCCAGAGCAGCAGAAAGGAAGCCAACCGAUGGGAAAGAUCUCUGUAGCCAUCUAUGUGCAAAUCCCAACUGCAGCUCCCAUUAUCCUUUAGCUCAUGAUGCUGGGACUUUCAAUCCUGCAAUAUCCUGUGCUAACUUUAACCCAGGCCUUCCAAAUGUAUUGGACUCUUAUCUCCCAGAAUGCUGCAAUGCUCCAGUGGGGUUCCUCCCCAGGUCAUCCUCAGAGCUCAGGAUGCUUGUCUGUCUUUAAGAUGGAAAGCACACGCCUGUGUUUUUUAUGGAUUGGGAAUCAGCUGGUUUUCCUUACAAUAGGCAGUAAGAGCACCUAAAGCUUCUGAGAGCUUCCGAUCAACCAUUUCAAAGCUCCCUGCUUGAGUGGUGAUGGCAUGAUCGUCAGCAUAUAUGAAACUCUCUUCUGGCAGUGGCUGGUCAUUUGUGUAAAUGUUAAAACUGAUGGAACAAGCACACUCCCCUGAGGACAAAAUAGGUUCUCCAAUGUUAUUCUUGCACCAGAAGUCCUUCAUUUCAAUAGAGUUUGCUCUCGCCUGCGGUUUCAUAUAUUCCUGCAAGAAGUCUACAGAUAAUGGGCUCAUAUUGCAUUGAUUCCGCAGCAGAUUCGGAAAGACCCUUCCACCUUGUGCAAUCGGCUAGCAAGAGCUGCAGAACGAAUGCAGUUUGAUUGCAACUGAACUGCGCUUUUAAUUGUUAUGCAAUCCUGGGAUUUAUAGUCUGAUGAUGCCCCAGCCCUCUUUGGCAGAGAGGUUUGGAAGGCCCUUUCAAAAGUACAACUUACAUGAUCCCAUAGCACUGAGCCAUGGCAAGAAGAUCUCAAUGUUAGAAGAGUCUUGGAUGAAGGUCUUUGCUCUAAAUCUGUUGUUUUUGGAAGGGAAAUGGGUCAGUGGAGCAAUAUAAAUGAUUAAAAACAAUGUUCACGGUAGUGGAGUUAUUGCUGAAUUUUUGAACGGAACCAAAAGGCUGUUUUGUAUAUGGAAACAUGUAUGAAGAUACUAGCAUUCGGUUAAAGCAGUGUCCAAUUGCAUUAAUUGCACAGUAUUUGCUGCCAUCCUGUGCUGUGCAGGUGCAUUGCAAGUUACGUGUCCCAAAAGUACCUAGGCAAAGAAGUACACAAACGCCUCCAUAAAAAGGUGGGAUGCAAAGUAUUCAUGGCAACAGCAGCAGCAACAUGCAUUGCAUCUACGCACCGCAGCCUGCAUCCUGUUGGUGUUUCCCACACAUUUACGUGCAUGAAUUGUACUUUUCUGGCCAUUCUUGCAGUUCAAGGUUGUGGCACUAGACUUACAUAAGUGUAACUAUUUCACAAGUGUUUCUGCACACUUGGAAAGUGUAUACAGUAUAGUCAUAGAAUCCUUGAGUUGGAGGAGAGCCCAAGUGGCCAUCCUGUCUGACUCCCCUUCUUCUAGGCAAGAAGACACAAUCAAAUCCCUCCCGACAGAUGGUCAUCUAGCCUCUGCUUAAAAACAUCCAGAGAAGGAGACAGUUGUCCUACAUCUUAAAUUGUAAGUUUUUCAGCAACUCUGAAGCCAAUCAUUGUGCAAUCCCUUUGGCACAAGGAGACAUCAGAAAACGCACUGACAGAUGAAUACACAACUGGAUGUGCAAUGCUGGUGUUCAGUGGAAGUAGGCACAACCACCAUGUAACUACAUUAAUGCAGGUUUACACUGUUGGAUAAGACUGAAAAUCGAGACUUGUUGCGUCUGCCAAGUAAAUCACGGAGAUGAGAUGAAACUGAGUAAGAAGGCUAACAGACGACAAUAUCUUUGGCGAAAGGGUCUACCAAGUCUUAGCACUGCUUUCAGUCCAACCUACUCGCAGCAUUCUUUAACAUAGCAUGUUUCAAGCACCACUGUUUUAUGGAUACUCAAGAGUUAUACCAAUAAUGACAAAGUGUGCAGGAGUAAUAUCUAAUGCUUCCUUAUCUAUGGGUCCAGCACUGAAUGUGUCCAGAGCUUGUUUGUUAUUGAUGAGGAUGUUCUCAGGGUCUGGCACUGGAUAUAGCCAUAGCUUCUCAUUGUUAGCCCUGGACACACAAUAUUGCUGUGACAGCAUUUUUACCAUAACGCAGAGCUCAGCCACAAAUACAAGUCAUGGGAGAUGCCAGCUAUUGUCAAGAUCAGGGGUCCCCAAACUAAGGCCCGGGGCCCGGAUGUGGCCCUCCAAAGUCAUUUACAUGGCCCCCGCCCUCAGUUUUAGACUUAGGCUUGCCCAAAGUCUGAAAUAACUUGAAGGCACACAACAACAAUCGUACUUAACUUGACUAUCUCAUUGGGCAGAAGCAGGCCCACACUUUAAAUUAUUUUUAAAUAUUGUAUUGUUCAUUCAUUUACUAAUAUUGUGCUAUGGUAAUAAUAUAAUAUAUUGUGUAUACAUAUAAUAUUGAUAAUAUUAUAAUGUAAUACAAUAUAAUAUUUAUUUAUUUAUUACAGUACAGGGGACUCAGUGCAGCUAAUAAUAAUAAUAAUGCAAUGUAAUAAUAUUGUAUAAUAUAAUAAUAUUAAUUAUAUAUUAUAUAUUAAAUGUAAUAUUACUAAUAAUAAUAUAGUAUAGUGGUAUAGUACAAUAUAGUAAUAUAUAAUGCUAAUAUUGUGCUAUGCUAAUAAUAUAGCAUAUUGUAUGUACAUACAACUUGUAAGCCGUUCUGAGUCUCCUUCGGGGUGAGAAAGGGUGGAGUAUAAAUGUAGCAAAUAAAUAAAUAAAUAGUUCAAUGUGUUGUCGAAUAAAUAGUUGCUGUUGUGUGUUUUUUGCACUACAAAUAAGACAUGUGCAGUGUGCAUAGGAAUUUUUUCCAUUUUUUUUCCAAAUGAUAAUUCGGCCCCUCAACAAUCUGAGGGACCAUGAACCGGCCCUCCACUUUAAAAGUUUGAGGACCCCUGGUCAAGAUAGUGUUGAUCAGGCUCCCGAAAACAGAUUAGGUGAAUCUAACUAAGCAUGAUGAUGAUGAUGAUGAUGAUGAUGAUGAUGAAUAUGAUAAUCUUUAUUUAUAUUCUGCUGUAUCUGCCCAAGUGGACUCAGAGUGGAUUACGGGUAAAUAUAUGGCAAAUAUUCGAUGCUGUUAUACAAUUGACAAAGGCAGACAGUACAUAAACAGAGGCAAAGCUUCCCUCUUUUUUUCAUCUCCGGCAUCUGGAGGCUGUGCUUGACUUGGCCAUGGGAAGGUGCUGUUGUUUCCACGCCGAGGAGCCUGUCAUCCAUGGAGGCCUUCCUGAUUGAAUUUGCCCGGAUAUUUUUCAGGACACGUUUUACCUCACCGCUAAAGCGGUACCUAUUUACCUGCUCACAUUGUUGUUUUCAAUCUGCUAGAUAAGCAGAAGCUGAGGCUGAUGGCGAGAGCUCACCCUGACCGACGGCUUGAACUGCCAACCUUCCAGUGGGCAAGAUCUUCUGUAGCUGUAACCUGCUGUGUAAGUCGUGGCUUCAAAGGAUACCAUGUAGUAUCAUUUGCAGACCUACUGAUUUUGUGCAGGAAAUUACCCUCACCGUUUGUGACAAAUAUGUAUGGAUUUUAUUGCAUAUAGUAUAGUAUAGUAUAGUAUAGUAUAGUAUAGUAUAGUAACAGGACUGUCACCAAAGGUAGUGCAAUGUCUGUUGCUGGUUUGCCACCUCUUUGCAAUGAAGUGAUCAGGGACUAUUUAAAGCCUGAUUGAGCCAUAGUCCCAAGAUUUACUUUCUGUGGCCCAGAUUUAUGACACUUAUUUAUUUUGCCAUUACAAAGUGCCUGUAGAAUAAUGUUGAUGAUGAUGAUGAUGAUGAUGAUGAUGAUGAUGUGGCGAAGUGGCACAGCGGGAGGAAAGAGUUACACUACUGACUCAGAGUGUGGCUUUGCACAAACAUGCCACAAUCUCACAACAUCAGUGGCAGAGGAUGGUUGUUUCUUUGAAGUUGAAAUUGCUGUUGCUGUAGUAAUUGCCCAAAAGAUAUACACUCCCUUGAAACCUCUUUGGUUAAAAUAUGCAUUCAGAGAUAACAACAAAACAAAGUCUUCUUUGAAAAAGAGCAUAUCUUGUUUACUCACAAACAUCUUGUAUUAAUUCACUAUACAGGCACAUUUCUUAUUUAAAUUCAGUUAUAGAUAGGAUAUAGUUCUCUGUGUGUUGAGUACACAGGGUAUUCUUAAUCAAUAGUCCAUAGUCUUUAGAUAUACAGUAGAGUCUCGCUUAUCCAACGUUCUGGAUUAUCCAAGGCAUUUUUUUCAAUACAUCAUGAUAUUUUGGUGCUAAACUCGUAAAUACAGUAAUUACUACAUAGCAUUACUGCGUAUUGAACUACUUUUUCUGUCAAAACAUGAUGUUUUGGUGCUUAAUUUGUAAAAUCAUAACCUAAUUUGAUGUGUAAUAGACUUUUCCUUAAUCUCUCCUUAUUAUCCAACAUAUUUGCUUAUCCAAUGCUCUGCCGGCCCGUUUAUGUUGGAUAAGUGAGACUCUACUGUAGUUGUACUCACUGGAGUCCAUACGUCAUACUUCUCUACUGAAGUCCUAACAGCAAUGUGCAUCUACCUCCAUUGAGGUGUAAAGCAGACUGACUACAAAAUGGAGUUCUGUGUCUGACCAUGCUCAGUACAAUUACAUCUCUAUAACCUCCCACAUCAGAGGUACAGUCAAACUGGCAAAUCAACAUACACAUAGAAUAUGGUUUAGCAAAUAUAUACAUUAACAAAUAAAUAAUAGAAGGCUUGGGAGGUUGCGAUUUUCAACAUAGACACCUCCAAGGUCAUGUGACCGGCAUGACUGCAUGGAGCGCCAUUACCUUCCCAUCAGAGCGGUACCUAUUGAUCUACUCACAUUUGCAUGUUUUCAAACUGCUAGGCUGGCAGAAACGGGCUAACAGUGGUCAGCAAGUUCAGCAGCUCAGCGGUUUAACCCACUGCGCCACCAGGGGCUCCUGUGUCCUCAUACAUUUGGUUAUUACCUGCCAAUAAAAUUGUUGUGUUGCAAAAUGGUAAAAAGUGUGCCACCAACAUGAACAUUUUUGUAAACUUCUGGCCUAGAUAAAAAUGUUGCGGUAUUUUCAUUUUAAUUCACAGUUCCUUGGAAUCGGGUUCUUCUACAUUGCCAUAUAAUCCAGAUUAUCAUGUGGAUUAUCUGCUUUGAACUGGAUUAUCUGAGAGCCCUUCUAGACAGCCAUAUAAUCCAGACUAUCAAGGCAGAAAAUCCCACAAUAUCUGCUUUGAACUGGGUUAUCUGAGUCCACACUGCCAUAUAAUCCAGUUCAAAGCUUAUACUGUAUAUACAGUAGAGUCUCACUUAUCCAAGCCUCGCUUAUCCAAGCCUCUGGAUAAUCCAAGCCAUUUUUAUAGUCAAUGUUUUCGUGAUAUUUUGGUGCUAAAUACAGUAAUUACAACAUAACAUUACUGCGUAUUGAACUAUUUUUUCUGUCAAAUUUGUUGUAUAACAUGAUGUUUUGGUGCUUAAUUUGUAAAAUCAUAACCUAAUUUGAUGUUUAAUAGGCUUUUCCUUAAUCCCUCCUUAUUAUCCAAGAUAUUCGCUUAUCCAAGGUUCUGCCGGCCCGUUUAGCUUGGAUAAGCGAGACUCUACUAUACUUGAGUAUAAGCCUAGUUUUUCAGCCCUCUUUUUAAGACUGAAAAAGGCCCCCUCGGCUUAUACUCGGGUGAGGGUCCUGGUUAGCUUAUAUUUGGGUCAUCUUAUACUCGAGAAUAUAUGGUACAUUUAUUAUUUUUCUCUAUGAUGUCUGGUGUGUUGUGUUCCAGAACUUUGUCUGUCUGGAUUUGGAAGUCCCACAGUAUCUUUGCGUGUUCAUUUUCCAAUACUUUUGCAAGUUUGUGAUCCCACCAGUUCUUUGCUGCUGGGAGGUGGUACUUGAGGCAUAAAUUCCAAUGAAUCAUUUGGGCCACGUAGUUGUGCCUCUGUUUGUAGUCUGUCUGUGCGAUUUUCUUACAGCAGCUGAGGAUGUGAUCCAUGGUUUCGUCGGUUUCUUUGCACAGUCUGCAUUUUGGGUCAUCAGCUGAUUUUUCGAUCUUGGCCUUAAUGGCCUUUGUCCUGAUGUCUUGCUCCUGGGCUGCAAGGAUCAGGCCUUCUGUCUCCUUCUUCAGGGUCCCAUUUGUGAGCCAGAGCCAGGUCUUCUCCUUGUCAGCUUUUCCUUCAAUUUUUUCAAGGAACCUUCCAUGCAAUGUUUUGUUGUGCCAGCUGUCAGCUCUAGUUUGUAGUGCAGUUUUCUUAUACUGGUUUUUUGUCUGCUGUGCUUUGAGGAGUUCCUGAUUUUUGAUUUCAAUCAAAGCAGGUUCUUCACUUUGCUUUACAUACUCUGCCAGGACAUGUUUUUCUUCUUUGACUGCUUGUUUUAAUUGUAAGAGUCCUCUGCCACCAGAUCUUCUAGGCAGAUAUAGCCGGUCAACAUCACUGCGAGGGUGCAGUGAAUGAUGAAUGGUCAUUGGUUUUCUUGUUUUUCUGUCCAAAUUGUCCAGUUCCGCCUGUAUCCAAUUUAUAAUGCCAGCAGUAUAUCUUAUGACAGGUAUGGCCCAGGUGUUUAUGGCCUUGAUGGUGUUGCCUCCAUUGAGCUUGCUUUUGAGAAUUUUUCUGACCCUUUGUGUGUAUUCUUUGCUGACCACAGUUUUCACAUGUUCAUGCUUGAUGUUGUCCAGCUGUAAUAUGCCAGGAUAUUUAUAGGAAUUUUAUUAUUAUUAUUAUUAUUAUUAUCAUUAUUUUAUUGUAUGGCACAGCAAACAAGAUAGACAUGCUGGAUUUCAUAUCACAAAAUCACAAGUCGAACACUUCCCAAGUGCCUUUGUUCUGAUGGCUUGCUCCUGGGCUGCAAGGAUCAGGCCUUCUGUCUCCUUCUUCAGGGUCCCAUUUGUGAGCCAGAGCCAGGUCUUCUCCUUGUCAGCUUGUCCUUCAAUUUUGUCAAGGAACUUUCCAUGCAAUGUUUUGUUAUGCCAGCUGUUAGUUCUAGUUUGUAGUGUGGCUUUCUUGUACUGAUUUUUUGUCUGCUGUGCUUUGAAGAGUUUCUGAUUUUUGACUUCAAUCAAAGCCCGUUCUUGUAAUAUUAAUUAUUAUUAUUAUUAUUAUUAUUAUUAUUAUUAUUAUUAUUAUUGGCAAUGAAAGAGUGAACUAUCAUCUCACUACAAUGGCUUGUAUGCCAGUUUGUCCCUUUAAGCAGGAGUUCUCUGGAGGUUCGAAACAGAGCCUGGUUGGCCAUCUGUUGGGAGGGCUUGGAUUGUGUCUCCCUGUUUGGCAGAAGGAGGUGGACUGGAUGGCUUUUGGGAAUCUCUUCCAACUCUAUGAUUCUUUCCUUGGCAAGAAUCUUAGCAUCUAAGUGAGCAAGAAAUAAGGAAGACCCCUUUGGGCACGAAACCAAGCGCUGCCGGCCACACCCUCGUCUGCUUCAAAACGUUUCCUGCUGUAGGUAGAGUUUCACGAGAGAACGUUCCCGAAGUACUAACAGAAGCUCUUUGUGCAACAAGGAGCAAGCCUCUGUGAAAUGCCAGGGUGAGGCCACACGCAAACACUGGGAGAGAUCCACAGCGAAGGCUGGCAACCGAGAGAGCUUGACUCCCACUCAAGGCUGACUCACGGGGUGGGACAGACCAGCACUCAGUGGUCUCGCUCUCUCCGCUGUCAAUCUUAUGCACAGGGAAUUAUUUGAACAUGUCCUCCCACACACGGCAUUGUGAGUCACACCACCGACAGUUGAGAUGAUGCACCUCAGUCUGAAGGAAGGGAGCUGCUAGAGAAGUAGGGUCUUUUCACACUAGAGUUGGCCCUCCGUAUCCACGGAUUCUCCAUCUGUUCAUGGAUUCCAAAAUGUAUGGUUCAGAAAUAUACCGUAUAUACUUGAGUAUAAGCUGACCCGAAUAUAAGCCAAGGCACCUAAUUUUACCACAAAAAAAACUGGGAAAACAUUGACUCCAGUAUAAGCCGAGGGUGGUAAAUUUCAGAAAUAAAAACAGAUCCCAAUAAAAUUACAUUAAUUGAGGCAUCGGUAGGUUAAAAGUUUUUGAAUAUUUACAUAAAGCUCAAAUUUAAGAUAAGACUGUCCAACUCUGAUCAAAUCAUUAUUCUCAUCUUCUUCAAUGUAUAGUAAAUGUGAUGUAUAAUAAUAAUAAUAAUAAUAAUAAUAAUAAUAAUAAUAAUAAUAGUAAUAAUAAUACAACUUUAUUUCUACCCUGUCACCAUCUCCCCGCGGGGACUCAGGGCAGCUUACAUGGGGCAGAGGCCCAAACAACAUAGGAUAAAAUAUAGGCAACAUAAUACAAAUCACACUAUAAAAAGAUAAAACAAUAAUACAAUAUAUCAAUUAAAACAAAAAUAUAGGAUAAAAAAUUGCAUUUAAAAAAUGGUAAAAUCGUAAUAAAUACAGGAUAGAUUAUUAAAAACCCUCUGGGGCCGAUUAAUUAAUGACUGUAUCUCCAAAGGCCUGCCGAAACAUCCAAGAGUAAAAUAAUACCUGUAAUAAUAAUAAUAAAUACAGGAAAAUAAUACAAGUAAUAUUAAAUAGAGUAAAAUAAUAAAUGCAAUAAGAAUAAUAAUAAGAUCAGAGUGAAAUAAUAAAUGUAUUAAUAAUAAUAAUAAAAAUAGAGUAAAAUCAAUGUAAUAGUAGCAACAAUAAUAGAGGAAAAAUAAUAAAUGUAAUAAUACCAAUAAUAAUAGAGAAAAAUAAUAAAUGUACCAUAUAUUCUCGAGUAUAAGCUGACCCAAAUAUAAGCCAACCAGGACCCUCAGCCAAGUAUAAGCCGAGGGGGGCUUUUUCAGUCUUAAAAAAAGGGCUGAAAAACUAGGCUUAUACUCGAGUAUAUACAGUAUACUGAAAAAGUAACCCAUGAUUUUGCUAUCCUUUCUCAACCUGGGGGUCGGGACCCCUGGGAGGGUCGAGAGGGGGUUUCAGAGGGGUCACCAAAGACCAUCAGAAAACCAUUUCUGAUGGUCUUAGGAACCCAAAUCCGUCCAGUAUUUUCUGUUGGUUCAUGAGAGUUCUGUGUGGGAAGUUUGGUCCAAUUCUAUCAUUGGUGGGGUUCAAGGGCCUUCUUGAUGUUAUUUAUUAUUUAUUUCUGAUAUUUCUACCCCGCCCUUCUCCCCGAGGGGACUCAGGGCGGCUUACACAACUGGCAGGAUCACUACCAGUAUAUCAUAAUACAAUAAAAUAAUAAAACAGUUAAAAUAGUUAAAUAACACAGUAAAAUACAAUAUAUAAAAGAUUUAACACAGUGCAACGCCGAAUAUAUUUGCCAGUCAUCCAUCAGACCUUGUGCAAGAGCCUUCAUCCAAUCCAUGUCAAUGCUAACUGAGUUCAUUCAUUAAACGCUUGAGCACAUAGCCAUGUCUUUGGUUUUUUUUUCUGAACCCUGGAAGAGAAGGAGCCUGCCGGAUGUCACUGGGGAAGGGAGUUCCACAGCCGAGGAGCCACCACCGAGAAGGCCCUGUCCCUCUUUCUUGUGAGGCUGGUGGGACCGAGAGCAGGGUCUCCCCAGAUAAUCUUAAGGUUCUUGUGGGCUCAUAGGAGGAGAUGCGUUCAGACAGGUAAGUUGGACCAAAACCAUUUAGGGCUUUGUAGGUCAAAACCAGCACUUUGAAUUGGGCCCUGUAGCAUAUCGGCAGCCAGUGGAGCUGGCUUAGCAGGGGGGUGGUGUGCUCCCUGUAAGCCGCCCCAGUUAUUAGUCUGGCUGCCGCCCGUUGUACGAAUUGGAGCUUCCGGGCCGUCUUCAAAGGCAGCCCCACGUAGAGCGCGUUUCAGUAAUCCAAACAGGAUGUAACCAGAGCGUGGACCACCGUGGCCAAGUCAGACCUCCCAAGGAACGGGCGCAGCUGGCGCACAAGUCUUAGUUCUGCAAAUGCUCCCCUGGCCACCGCCAAGACCUGGGGCUCCAGGCUCAGCGAUGAGUCCAGGAGAACCCCCAGACUGCGAACCUGUGUCUUCAGGGGGAGUGCGACCCCGUCCAACACAGGCUGUAACCCUAUUCCCCGUUCAGCCUUACAACUGACCAGGAGGACCUCCGUCUUGUCUGGAUUCAAUUUCAAUUUGUUGGCCCUCAUCCAGUCCGACACAACGGCCAGACACCGGUUUAGGACCUGGACCGCCUCCUUAGUGACAGGUGGGAAGGAGUGGCAGAGCUGGACAUCAUCUGUGUACAGAUGACACCGCACCCCGAAACUCCGGAUGAUCUCUCCCAGUGGUUUCAUGUAGAUGUUGAACAACAUGGGGGACAGUACAGACCCCUACGGGACCCCACAAGACAAUGGUUGUGGGGCUGAGCAGGUGUCCCCCAAUGACACUGUUCUGUCACGCGCUGGGCCUGUGACUGAUUGUCUAUUAUAUAGGACGUACGCUUUACGCCCAGGGUGCCUAAAGAAAGGUUGUUGAGGAAUUUCCCUGAAAAAGCUGGCCUUGAAGUCUUUAAAGACAUAACAAAGUCUUUAUUGACAAACAAAGAAUAAAUCUUCAAGGAGUCUUGUCCCCACAGGACAGGCGAUUGGCUUUGAAUAACUGUGAAAACCCUCUUAUAACCCCUCCCAGGCUAUCUAUUAACUGGGCUUAGCUGGUCUGGGACCCACUGCUGACUCCAAGUGCAUCUGGUUGUCGAGUGGACCUACCAGCCAAGGCUUGCAGAUGUUUCUGUGCUGUUGUUCUGUAUCCUCGGAUGGUCUUUAUCCCUGGUGUUCUUGAAAUAUGAAGCUUUUUAUGGGAUGAGCAGGUCUACGUCCUAUAGCUGAGCUUCAUAAGUGAGACUAACUUAAAAAUGGCUCCUUCCCUCCCAGAGCCCUGAACAAGGGGCGGAACCAAACUUAAUGGUGAUUGACAGGUGGCCUGUCCUAUGAUUGCAAACAUUUGCAGCAAGAAAAUAAAGUUGAAGUUUCUGGUACAGCUGUACCAGCACAAACACCGUCUGGGAACGACCCUCCAGGAAGGACCGGAACCACUGCAGAACAGGACCCCCGAGCCCCAUCCCGGCAAGGCACCCCAGAAGGAUACCGUGAUCGACAGUAUCAAAGGCCGCUGAGAGGUCCAGCAGAACCAGCAGGGACACACUCAGGGACACUCUUGUAAGUGAACUAUAAAUCCCAGCAACUACAACUUCCAAAUGUCAAGGUCUAUUUUCCCCAAACGCGACCAUUAUUCAAAUUUGGGCAUAUUGAGUAUUUGUGCCAAGUUUGGUCCAGAUCCAUGAUUGUUUGGAGUCCACCGUGCUCUCUGGAUAUGGGUGAACUACAGCUCCAAAACUCAAGGUCAAUGCCCACCAAACCCUUCCAGUAUUUUCUCUUUGUCAUGAGAGUUCUGUGAGCCAAGAUUGGUUCAAUUCCAUCAUUGGUGGAGUUCAGAAUGCUCUUUGGUUGUAGGUUAAGUAUAAAUCCCAGCAACUACAACUCCCAAGUGACAAAAUCAACCCCCCUCAUAACCCCACCAGUAUUCAAAUUUGGGCAUUUCAGGUAUCUGUGCCAAAUGUGGUCCAGUAAAUGAAAAUACAUCCUACAUAUCAGAUAUUUACAUUAUGAUUCAUAACAGUAGUAAAAUGACAGUUAUGAAGUAGCAACAAAAAUAACUUUAUGGUUGGGGGUCACCACAACAUGAGGAACUAUAUUAAGGGGCCGCGGCAUUAGGAAGGCUGAGAACCACUGUUUUUUGGUGUUUGCUUAAAAGUCAUUCCAAAUCCUAUACAAUCUUGUAAUAAAAUUCAUUUGUUACAUCGUGUUAUUAAUAGACAGACUAAGUUAGCUAUUUUCUCUUUGCACCUAUGAAUUGUUAAAUUGUGGUCAACACUGACCGUAUAAUGCAGUUCGAAACUGCAUUGUAUGGUCAGUGUUGACCUAUAUAAUGUGGUUCAAAUGACCAUAAACUGACCAUAUAUUUAUUAUUAUUAUUAUUAUUUUAUUUACAGUAUUUAUAUUCCGCCCUUCUCACCUUGAAGGGGACUCAGGCCGGAUCACAAUGUACAUAUACAUGGCAAAGAUUCAGUGCAAUAUGAACAUAGAGACAGAGACAAAGACACAGAGGCAAUUAACCUUCUCCAGCUUACUGCGGGUAUGCUUGAUUCCAGCCACAGGGGGAGCUGCUGCUUCAUCAUCCACAGUGACACCGAGUCCUUGAUGGAUACUUCCUCAUUCCAAACGCUGCAGGACAAUUUUUAUGGUGUCGUAAAUGAAUAAUAAUAUAAUAAUAAACUUUAUUUAUACCCCGCCACCAUCUCCCCAACGGGGACUCGGGGCGGUUUACAUGGGGCCAUGCCCAGAACAAUACAAUAUAACAGAAUAUAAAUAGAACAACAAAUAACACAUUGAACAAUACAAUAAAUGAUAAUAUACACUACAUUACGCAAAAUCAGAAGAACAAUAAAACAAGGGCGGGCCACAUGAACACUAAGUUAAAACUCGGGGUGAGAAAAGAAAUAAGAAUAAAAACCACAGAGAACAGGGUCAUAAAGUAGUGGUGCAAUCUGGAGGACCGAUAUUAAAUUAGAUGAAAUUAGCCUCCCUGUAUAAGCGGUACCUAAAUUUCCUACUUGAUAGAUGCAACUAUCUUUCAGGUUGCUUAGGUCAACAACGAGCAGGGCUAUUUUUUAAUGGUUGGGUGCUCACUCCAACACGGUCUGGCUUCAAACUCAUGAUCUCUUGGUCAUAGUGAUUUAUUGCAGCUGGCUACUAACCAGCCUGCGCCACAGUCCGGCCCAAACUGCAUUAUAUGGCAGUGUAGAUGCAGCCUCAUAUACGUAAUGCCAUUGCAUUGCAUCAAACUGCAUCAUACGAGAUGACACUGGCCAUAUAAUGCAGUUUCAAACUGGCACAGAUGCAAAAACACAAAUACACUCAUCAAGGUGCAUAAUAUUUAAAACAGAACCUAAAGUCCUUGGCGUGACAUCUCUUAAGCAUUUCUUCAGCCAUAGAAUUGCAAUGACACUGACCUUCCCUUCCAGAGAAAGAAAGGCUAAAAAUGUAAAUAUUACAUAACUAGCCAUGUGUUCUCUUUUCUUGACCCCAAAUGGGAUGCCUGAGGUGGUCACUUCAUUUUGGACCGUGGAAAGGUCAGCACUGACCAUCUGCAUCCUGCCCAGAGCUCUUUGGGAGAAAAGCAAGAGGUCAGUGGAAAACAUAUGAUGAUGAUGAUGAUGAUGAUGAUGAUGAUUAUGUUCAUCUUUAUUAUAUUUUUGUCUUCAAAAGCUUUCAUGGCCAGAAUCACUGGGUUGCUGCGAGUUUUCCGAGCUGUAUGGUCAUGUUUCCGAAGCAUUUGCUCCUGACGUUUCGCCCACAUCUAUGGCAAGCAUCCUCAGAGGUUGUGAGGUCUGUUGGAAACUAUUCAAGUUGGGUUUAUAUAUCUGUGAAACCAGCAGUUAUAGGCAAUCCUUUCUUAGUCCAUGAAUCUGCUUCGUGGAGAUCAGCAGCAAACAAGGCCUCAGAAAUAGUCAGGCCUCUCUGAGUACAGAGCCAUCUUCUUUCCAGCCAGUGAUGAAGGUGUAUUGGGAAAAUAUAAUACUUGUAUUGGAAACUAUAUACUGAAUGUAAUCAUGUUAAGAAAUAGAAAUAGGAAAGUAUGUAAUCACCAGCAGAUUGUGUGCGUAGUCUUAAAAAUACACUCUGCUCAGCAAAAUAACUGUCUACCCAUAGCAAGACCAAAGUUCACUCUAAGUGCCAGAGACAUGUUAAGUGUCAACAAGAAUAGAUAAUGGACAAGAGACAAAUUAAGGCUUUUUGGGAUGUCAAGAUAAGACCUGGCGCCAUGAGGGGAAUGCUAAUGGGUCUCUGACAGCUAAGAUAAGGGGGAACUCCUUAAUUAAUGAGGACCCCUAAAAGCUGAGAUAGGAAAUUCCAGAGAUAACGCCUAAUGGAGGGUUAGAGUUCUUGAAAGUAGUCUAUAUUUUAGAAAAAUGCAAAGAUAGCUUUUUAGUUAAGUGCCCAGUAAGACUUUUUUGACACUAAUUGGUGAUUGAUAAUACCUGUGUGAUGCAGUAGAUGGGGGAAAAAGGGUAUAUAAGAACCUGUGAUCCUUUGUUCCAGUACCUUCGCUUUCCUGACCACAGGAGAAGGUCUUUGCUUAUUCUCUCUUGCCACUGAGAAUAAAUGUCAUUUUUUCUACAGCCACCGGAACUCUCUUUGUCUCAUUACCUCAAACCUUUGUCUGCCAUUUCACCAGUAUUGUGGUUUUUAUUGUAUAAUUGUGUCUGAAUUUGUUUAAUUUACUUGAUUGUCUUGUUGCUACUGUUUUACAUGUUUUAACUUGUUAUAACUUGCUCUUCUUUUGGGCUUGGCCCCAUGUUAGCCGCCCCGAGUCCCUUUGGGGGUGACAGGAUAUAAAAAUAAAUUAUUAUUAUUAUUAUUAUUAUUAUUAUUAUUAUUAUUAUUAUUAUUAUUUGCCAUACAAUCCUGAUUAUCAAAACAGAUAGCCCAGAUUAUAUAAUAUAAACUGGAUUAUAUGAGUUCACACUGCCAUAUAGGUAAAUGUUUUCCCCUGACAUUAAAUCCAGUCGUGUCCGACUCUGGGGGUUGGAGCUCAUCUCCAUUUGUAAGCCCAAGAGCCGGCGUUGUCCGUAGACACCUCCAAGGUCAUGUGGCCAUAGGCAUGAGUGCAUGGAGCACUGUUACCUUCCUGCUGAAGCAGUACCUAUUGAUCUACUCACAUUUGCAUGUUUUCGAACUGCUAGGUUGGCAGAAGCUGGGGCUAACAGCGGGCGCUCACUCUGCUCCCCGGAUUCGAACCUGCAACCUUUCGAUCCGCAAGUUCAGCAGCUCAGCGCUUUAACACACUGUGCCAUCAGGUGCUGGAUCUAUUUAUUUAUUUAUUUAUUUACAGUAUUUAUAUUCCGCCCUUCUCACCCCGAAGGGGACUCAGGGCGGAUCACAUUACACAUAUAGGCAAACAUUCAAUGCCUUUUUAACAUAGGACAAAGACAAACAAAGCGGUCCUCGAACUCAUGACCUCCUGGUCAGAGUGAUUCAUUGCAGUUAAUUGCACUGGCUUGCUCUCCCGCCUGCGCCACAGCCCGGGCCCUACACUGCCCUAUAUCCUGGGAGCUGAUCCCAUAUUUUCUGGCAAUGUAGUCUCAUAUAAUCCAGUUCAAUGCGGAUAACCUGGGAUCAGUUCCUGGGAUAUAGGGCAGUGUAGAUCCAGUCCCAGUGAAGAAACGCAACGCAGCCAAGAAGGAAGAGGCCUGGGCUGCAUCUCUGGGGAGGUGUUUUGGCACAUCUAAAGGGAAAGGCCAAGUGUUUGUUUUCCGUCUCCAUCGCUACCAUUAAACUCCUAGGCAUCCUUGGUGCCUCCUCCUUCUUGCCCGGAUGAUCGUGCCAAAUGUUAUCAAACAAUGCAAAGUUUAAAAAUACCCUCUGCCUUUGUGGGAGCCAAACAAAGGCGCAAUAUGACCUCCAAUUCAGGCAUGGGCAAACUUGGGCCCUCCAGGUGUUUUGGACUUCAGCUCCCACCAUUCUUAACAGCCAGUCCUUCCUUAGGCGAUCCCUCGUUGUCCGAGUAUGAUGGCCAAGUGUAGUGUCUUGGUGGUGAGUACGUAGGUGACUGUGGAGUCCUAUUUUUGACCCGUUAUGUUCUUCCACAGUUAGGACAUCUGUUUCCAGGUGGAAGGCGGUCCCGGUCAAGGUUGGCUUGAUGCGCCGUCCUCUUGGCCCUUUUCUCCCUUUUGCCCUCCAUUCAUUCCUCUUCAAAUUCCACAGCACUGCUGGUCACAGCUGACCUCCAAUUAGAGCGCUCAAGGGCCAGGGCUUCCCAAUUCUUGGUGUCUAUGCCAGUUUUUGAGAUUGGUUUUAAGCCCAUCUUUAAAUCUCUUUUCCUGCCCACCAACAUUACGUUUCCCGUUCUUGAGUUGGGAGGAGAGUAGCUGCUUUGAGAGACGGUGAUCGGGCAUUCGGACAACGUGGCCUUCAGUCCAGCGGAGUUGAUGGCAUAGGAGCAUCGUUUCAAUGCUGGUUAAGCCCCCGACCAUUAAAUAGCCCAGCUUGCUGUUGACCUAUGUAGCCCUGAAAGACAGUUGCAUCUGUCAAGUAGGGAAAUUUAGGUACGCUUUAUGCGGGAGGCUAAUUUAACUAAUUUACAACAUCAUAAAACUGCCAGCAAAACACGAGGAAAGGAAUGAGGAAGUACAGCCACUAGUGGACAGUGAAGCAAUAGCUCCCCCUGUGGUCGGAAUCGUGGAGCUGGAAAAAAAUGUUAAAUGCCUCUGUGUCUGUCUAUAUAUGUUGUUUGUCUGUUGGCAUUGAAUGUUUGCCAUAUAUGUGUUCAUUGUAAUCCGCCCUGAGUUCCCUUCGGGGUGAGAAGGGUGGAAUAUAAAUACUGUAAAUAAAUAAAUAAAUGCUGGUGGUCUUUGCUUCCUCAAGCACGCUGGCAUUUGCCCGCCUGUCUUCCCAAGAGAUUUGCAGGAUUUUUCUGAGGCAAUGCUGAUGGAAACGCUCCAGGAGUUGAGUGUGAUGUCUAUAGACAGUCUACGUUUUGCAGGCAUAUCAGAGGACUGGAAGGACAAUGGCUUUAUAAACAAGCACCUUGGUGUCCCUAUGGAUGUCCCAAUCCUCAUUCGGAGAAAUGCUGCACUCGCAGAGCUCAGGCGUCAAUGUCAACUUUUGUGGAGAAGUGGCUGCCAAGGAAGCGGAAAUAGUCAACAUUUUCUAAUGUUACACAAUUAAAGCUUUAUUUCUGGCAUUGCAUAGGGACUGGCUGGUGAACAUCGAUGUUCAAUGAGAGGCUGAGCUUCUCAUAUGCUUCUGCAAAGGUGUUUAAAGUGGCUUUGUAGGUCUUCUGAAUGCACACAGACAAUGUUAUCAUCGGCAUAUUGGAGUUCUAUAACAGAUGUCGUCGUGACCUUGGUUUUGGCUUUCAAACUGCUGAGGUUACAUAUCUUGCCAUCUGUCUGAUAGAGGAUUUCUACUCCAGCGGGAAGUUUCCCAUCAACAAAAUGAAGUAUCAUAAGCUGUUAGGAAUGCAGGGAGUUGCAGUCCAAAACACCCGGAGGGCCCAAGUUUUUCCAUGCCUGGCUUAUAUGGAUGGAUGUCUCUCAUUGGGGCCGGGCUGUGGCGCAGCUGGCCAGUAACCAGCUGCUAUAAAUCACUACUGACCGAGAGGUCAUGAGUUCGAAGCCCAAGUCGGGUUAAGCCUCCGACCAUAAAAAAAAAAAAAAAUAGCCCCGGCUUGCUGUUGACCUAGCAGCCCCGAAAGACAGUUGCAUCUGUCAAGUAGGGAAAAUUUAGGUACGCUUUAUGCGGGAGGCUAAUUUAACUAAUCUACAACACCAUAAAACUGCUCACGAGGAAAAGACGAGGAAGAACAGCCACCAAUGGACGGUGAAGCAACAGCUCCCCCUGUGGCCGGAACCGUGAAGCUGGAAAGAUGUUAAAAAUGCCUCUGUGUCUGUCUAAAACUGAAUGUUGUUUGUCUGUUGGCAUUGAAUGUUUGCCAUAUAUGUGUUCAUUGUAAUCCGCCCUGAGUCCCCUUCGGGGUGAGAAGGGUGGAAUAUAAAUACUGUAAAUAAAUACAUUUCUUUCUUUCUCAUGUUUGUGGUCUUUUGUCAAGCCAGGUCACCCAGGUCUGCAUUUCUCUCUCUCUCUCUCUCUUUUUGCCUCGACAGACCAACACAGCUAUCUCCUUGCAACAUGCUUUAUUGAUUUGUUCUACAACUUGCCUUCCUCCCGAAAUAGGAGGCUUCAAGGUGUCUUCGAAUACGAAUGUACUUUCUUCAGCCAUAAAUCUAGUCAGAGCAAGAAAGAAGGAACAGUACUUAAUGCAAUUCCCAAGAGCCUUUUAAAAAAUGUCCUCUCCUUCCCAGAUCUACUCAACUCCUUUCCCACCGCCGGAGGAAAUAAAUGCCGUCCUCAAAUAUCUUUUCUAAAAAAGAGGAAAAUGCUAAUGAGAGAAAAUUUGGACCGAACACCCAGAGGCAAAGGUUGAAGCAAUCCUUCUCUUUUUCUUGGUUGGGUUUGCAACUCCUUGUGUCCAAAGACAGACAGACAGACAGGCAGGCAGGCAGACAGACAGACAGACAGGAGUCUCCUCCAUAGCAUUGAAAUAAAGUGGUAUCAAACUGCAUUCAUUCCACAGUGUGGCUUCACCCAAAGGAAACUUUAAUAUAUACAGCUGCAUGCUGAGUUUCUGCAUCCCAAAGGGAUUUUGCAGCUCCAUCCUCCCUUUGCUUCGCCAAAUCCCUAGACCAGGGGUCCCCAAACUAAGGCCCGGGGGCCGGAUGCGGCCCAUCGAAGCUAUUUAUCCGGCCCCCACGACACAAGGGCAGAAGGGGGUUGGGCUAAAUGACCCAAGGGGUCUCUUCUUCUCUUACAAUCCUUAUUAUUAUUAUUAUUAUUAUUAUUAUUAUUAUUAUUAUUAUUAUUAUUAUUAAGGCUGGAUGGACAUCUGUCAGGGAUGCUUUGGUUAUGGUUUUGGUCACAGAGGCAGAAGGGGGUUGGACUAAAUGGCCCAAGGGGUCUCUUCCAACCCUUUUUAUUAUUAUUAUUAUUAUUAUUAUUAUUAAUAAUAAUAAUAACAUUGAGGCUGGAUGGCCAUCUGUCAGGGGUGUUUUGGUUGUGCUUUUGGUGCGCAGAGGCAGAAGGGGGUUGGACUAAAUGGCCCAAGGGGUCUCUUCCAACCCUCUUUAUUGUUGUUGUUGUUGUUAUUAUUAUUAAUAAUAAUAAUAACAUUGAGGCUGGAUGGCUGUCUGUCAGGGAUGCUUUGGUUGUGGUUUUGGUGCACAGAAGCAGAAGGGGGUUGGACUAAAUGGCCCAAGGGGUCUCUUCCAACCCUCUUUAUUAUUAUUAUUAUUAUUAUUAUUAUUAUUAUUAUUAAUAAUAAUAAUAUUGAGGCUGGAUGGCCAUCUGUCAGGGAUGCUUUGGUUGUGCUUUUGGUGCACAGAGGCAGAAGGGGGUUGGACUAAAUGGCCCAAGGGGUCUCUUCCAACCCUCUUUAUUGUUGUUGUUGUUGUUGUUGUUGUUGUUAUUAAUUAUUAUUGCUCAGUGGCCAACUAUAGUCCAGCCCUCCAAUGGUCGGAAUGAUCGUGAACUGGCCCCCUGUUUUAAAAGUAUAAUCCAACAUAUAAUCCAACAUAUAAUCAGGCAAGGCAGACAUCCAGAUGGCAUGCAUAUCCAUAGAAAAGAGCGAGUUAGAGAGCAGUUGUAGCCCGAUGAGUCCCAGACAAAAACCACCUUUUGGGAUAUACUUAGUUUGUGAUGCAGAGGUGACUUGAAAUUAAUACAUUUGCCAAGGCACAUUUUUCAUGCAUCUAUAUAUAUAUAUAUAUAUAUAAAAAAGGAUAAUGGUGUCGCUCCACCAGGCAAAACAACAAAACUAAAGGCCCCCCAACCUAGAAAAUUGACAACACAACCCCUCAUCCACGUCUCUACGUGCUUACGCUCAACAAAGGAUUCCCCCCCCCCCCAAACAGGGAAACACCCACUCUUUGAAGGUCCAAACCCAUUCGGUACUCAUCACUGAAAACACAAAAUAAAGAGCAACACUCUGAAAACAAAGGAAUUCCAUCCAGGAAACAAUCAGGGCCACCUAACACCUCCCAACAAAGGAUUCCCCCCUCUAAGACACGGAACCACCUAAAAAAAAAGCCACUGCAACGCGUGGCCGGGCACAGCUAGUAACAUAAUAAAAUGUAAUGUUGCUUCCCUUGUAUUCUAACUCUAAUUCUUUCUUUAACUCAAUAGUUAUGGGGAAGGAGGAGUGUUUGGAUCCUAGUCUCCAGAGUCAUCAUCACCAUCACCAUCAUAUAUUAUUGUUAUUGUAAUUGUUGUUAUUGGCUGUAUCUAUAUUACCAUAUAAUCCCAUUUGAAAGUGCAUUAUAUGGCAGUGUAGAUCCAGCCAUACUCCAACGCUUAAACUACUACACCAACGCAAGACUACAACCCCCAUAAUCCUUGGAUUGACCAUUGUAGUGGAAAAAUUGAGAAUGAGAGAACACCUUUCCCAACGACAGAAUACCAAAUAAUAAUCUUUGGUUUGAGUGCAUUGGUGGAAACCAGUGGUCCUUGUCGUGGUUUGCAAAGGCACUGUGCUGUGCGUGUUAACUGGAAAAUUAAAUGCAUGAAGCCAAUUGGCUGAGCCUGAAAAGACCUGGGGAUUGAUUUGAUACUGUUUCUGUUCUGCUGCUGCAGAACCAGUUUGCUUAAGUUUUUCAGCUCUGAGUACUGCUGUGAAGAGAGCAUUGUACUCAGAGAGGCCUUGCUAUUUUGAGACCUGUUUGCUGCUGAGAAAAGAGGGAGAAGAACCAGGACUAUAUUCUUCUCUGAAGCAGAUUCGUGGACUGAGAAAGGACUAUUUAUGGCUCUAGACUUCUGUAAGUGAUCAGAGGGACCAUUGUAAAUACUAUUUUUUAUCUCUUAGAAUCAGUAAAGUUCCUGUAUUUUUCUGCAAACCUGAGUGGCAUGCUAUUGUUCUGCGGGUGACUCUGGAUCGCAGGCACAUGUAAGAGUUUCCAUUUAUCAUCAUCAAUCCCCUACAGUUCUCAACCUAGAUGUUUUGGGCCUUCAACUCCCAGAAAUCCUAACAGCUGGUAAACUGGGUGGGAUUUCUGGGAGUUGUAGGCCAGAAACAUCUGGUGUCCCCAGGUUGAGAACCACUGGUGUAAACAAACAAGCAAGUAAACAAACUGUGCAAAAGAAAACGUUUUGCACAAGGCUUUGAUGCAUAAGGCCAUGGAUGCAGAAUUCGUGGGUGUGGAAGGCUGACUAUAAGCCGAAACGGUCCAUAGGAGGUUUAACAUUAUCGAAGAAUCUCAAUUGGUGAAAAGUUAUAUAACAGAACGUGGAAGUACGUUCUUCUGGGCUUAUUUUGCAUCUUAUUCCAAAUAAAUCCAUUUGUGAGCCAGACUCAUGUCUUCUGCAGGAAAUCCGGGCGCAUUCCUGACCGCGUAUUACAAGGAGAGAACAAACUCAAGAAAGAUGUUUCUGGGUCCUGUUGAGAAUGUAGGGCAGUGUCUCUGGAAUGCAGUUGCCAGCAAAUCCAAAAUAAUAACAAUGAUACUAAAAAUAGAGGUAGUAGGACUCCUUCCCAUUGAGCUCAGUGGGACGUUGCAUCGGAGUGUGCAUGCAAAGAAUUACACAGCAAGCAUUAAUGCAGUUUGACAUCACUUUGACAGCUAAGGCUGAACGCUAUGAAAUCCUAGGAGUUAUACGAGGGUUGAAUGAAAAGUAAUGCCUCCACCUUCGUAACUCCUCAACAGAUGGCAGUCCUGAUCUGCGGCAGGUCCUGGUUUGUUUGGUAGAUUCUCCUCUACAGUUAGUUCCAUUUGGCGGGAAGCCUUAGCAUUGAACGGUUGUGUUGUUAAAGUGCGAAGUAUGGAACCCUGUACAGACGGUUGGUCAAUGCGACUUAAGCAAUGUAUAGUCAUUGAAUUCUUGACCGCAGAAGGUGUCACCCCAAAGGAGAUUCAUCAGAGGAUGCAAGCUGAUGUGAGUCCUGUGCAUCGUUGGGUGAGUAAGUUUAAAGAUGUUGAGGUGGGAACAUCUGACUUGCGUGACAAACAAAGAGUUGGACGUCCUGUGACAGCAACCACCAAGUUUCACAAGCAAAAGGUUGACAGAUUGAUUCAGGAUGAUUGUCAUAUCACUCAGAGAGAAGUUUCAAGCAUAAUCGGCAUUUCACAAGAACGUGUGGGUUACAUUAUUGCUUUGCUUGGCUAUCAGGCCUGGGCUGUGGUGCAGGCUGGAGAGCAAGCCAGCUGCAACCAGCUGCAAUGAAUCGCUCUGACCAGGAGGUCAUGAGUUCGAGGCCUGCUUGGAGCCUGUGUUUGUCUUGUCUUUGUUCUAUGUUAAAAGGCAUUGAAUGUUUGCCUAUAUGUGUAAUGUGAUCCGCCCUGAGUCCCCUUCGGGGUGAGAAGGGCGGAAUAUAAAUGCUGUAAAUAAAUAAAUUUUAAAAAAAUAUUGGAAGAUCUGUGCACGACGGGUCCUGUGAGACAGCGGUUGUGGAAACAGAGUGUUGACUUCUUCCGUGACGGCUUCAGAAAACCUGUUCAUCGUUGGCAGAAAUGUAUAUCCAAUUGUCUGGUGAUUAUGUGGAAAAGUGAAUAGUGGUAGUUAAAGAACUACAUUCUAAGGAUUAUUUCUGCGUUUGAUUUAUUAAAAUAUUCCUAUCCAAACCCAAGUAACGAAGGUGGAGGCAUUACUUUUCACUCAACCCUCGUAGUUUGGUGUGGCAACAGCCCUCUUUGGCAAGGAAAACUAUAAAUUUCUGUUAAACUACAGCUCCCAGGAUUCCAUAGCCUUGAGCCAUGGCGGUUAAAGGUGGUGCCAAACUGCACUCCCUACACAGAGUCCUAAUGAAUGCUCAGGUACAAAGGAAGCCUAUUUGCACACCCUUCUCCUGCAACAGGAGACUAACAUGGAGACUUCAUUGGAAAAUUCCUGCAGCAGCGUAUGAUUUGCAAGGGAAAUGGGUUUUGCCGGAGGGCGGGAAGAAGGCGGCUAUCUUUAGGCUGCUGGGAAAGUCCAGAGUUAUGAGCCAAGGGUUAUUCAUCCAUCUGGCUGGACUCCCAGGAGCAAGUCGGAGCCAUGCCAGGCCUGCGCCUCUCAGCCUCUCCCAAUUCCUCUCCUUAGUUUUCCAUUCCAAAGUUGCCAGGAUCUUUAGGGUAGGAACAACCCAAAGGCUGGUCCUUCCAUCUCCAAAGGCCACUCUUCCAGUCUUUCCCACUCAUUGUAGUCUACACUUUGAAAUUCCUCGGGGCACAUCUACACUGUAGAAUUAGUGCAGUUUAGCACCGUUUUAGGCACCAUGGCUCAAGGCUAUGCAAUCAGGGGAGUUUGGCAAUUCGGCAGCAUUCUUUGGAAGUGUUGUCGAAGGCUUUCAUGGCCGGGAUCACAGGGUUGUUGUAUGUCUUUCGGGCUGUGUGGCCAUGUUCCAGAAGUAUUCCCUCCUGACGUUUCGCCCACAUCUACCCUGUUUCCCCGAAAAUAAGACAUCCCCAGAAAAUAAGACCUAGUAGAGGUUUUGCUGAAUUGCUAAAUAUAAGGCCUCCCCCGAAAGUAAGACCUAGUAAAGUUUUUGUUUGGAAGCAUGCAGGAUCGGUAAAUGUAGAUACCAUAGAUCGUUAUACAGGGAAAUAAAGGUAGUAACAAGAAAUAAUAAUAUAAUAAUAUAAUAACUUUAUUCUUGUAUCCCACCUCCAUCUCCCAGAAGGGACUCAGGGCAGCUUACACAGGGACAAGCCCAACAACAACAUAAAUUUACAUACGAACAGAAAUUUAAAACAGUAAUUUAAAAACAGUAUAGCAAUAAAAUAUAAUAUAGAAAUUCUUGAAAGGAUUCACAGUUUGGUUAUGCUGGUUUGUGAUGACAACUACUGUACGGUAGAUAAUAAAUUAUCAUUUUUAAAAAAUUCAACCAUACAUGUGAAUUCAUCUUUGUGGAAAAAAUAAUACAUCCCCUGAAAAUAAGACCUAGCACAUCUUUGGGAGCAAAAAUUAAUAUAAGACACUGUCUUAUUUUCGGGAAAACAGGGUAUGGCAGGCAUCCUCUAUUUUAUUAGGUACUUCCCAUUCUCAUCUAUGUGGGGAAUAUUAUAAUUAUAUUAUUAGGUACUACAAAUCCCAUUAUUCCAUAGCCUUGAGUUCCAAGUGAUGAAGGCUGCAUGAAUUAUUAUAAUUAUAAUGUUGCUGGAGGUAGCAAACAAUGUGCAUUUUGAGGGGUAGAACAAGCUGAUCAAGUACAUAUAGUAUAUGCAUAGGUACCAUGAUAAUAUUAUAUUAUAGUAUUAUAUUAAAUAUUAUAUUAUUAGGUACUACAAAUCCCAUUGUUCCAUAGCCUUGAGUUCCAAGUGUUGAAGGCUGCAUGAAUUAUUAUAAUUAUAAUGUUGCUGGAGGUAGCAAACAAUGUGCAUUUUGAGGGGUAGAACAAGCUGAUCAAGUACAUAUAGUAUAUGCAUAGGUACCAUGAUAAUAUUAUAUUAUAGUAUUAUAUUAAAAUAUUAUAUUAUUAGGUACUACAAAUCCCACACAGCCUGAAAGACAUACAACAACCCUAUUCUUUGGAAGCAAAGGCUCAAGACCUUGUGAAACUACAACUCCCAAGAUUCCAUAGCACUGAAAUAUAGCACCCGGUCUUUGUUGUUGCUUGUCUCCCAUACAAGCAUCAUCCUGUUGUCGACCGCGUUUUUAGGGGAUCGGGCCCCUUAAGGAGAGAGCCGAUCCGGUCCUGAGAGAACGGACCUUGGCGGAGCCAAUAGAAUAUGAGCCGCAAUACAACCUGAAGCCGAAAUGAAGAAGGUCCGCCAAAGUUGAAGGAAAAUCCGCCAAGGAGUCUUUAUUGAGCGAUUCAGCUGAAAAGGACACUAGUAGCGAUCAUUCAGCCUACAAGCGUACCAUAUAUCCAAAAUAAAGCCAUAUUUAUACAAUGUUUCAGUCUGACAGCCCCUUGAAUUUCCCGCCCCGCUCCCCCGCCCAUCUGAUCGCGGAUAGGCUAGAGGGUUGAACGAGGCAGGCUUUCGUUUCCCGCCUUGCUCUGUUGGCCCAAUAGGGAGCUGCUUUUUGUCCCCACUCGAGCCAAUCAGGGAGGAGAAGGCGGGAGUUAUUGAAACAAUGAAGUGACAGGGCAGGAAAUAUCAUAUUAAUUCCUGCUAGACCGAUUUCUAAAGGGAUUAAUGACAGCAAUCAAGGGUUCCUGUCACGUAUACAGAUUUUAGAUAUGCCUUGGGGUGUCAGAGGUGGAAGUAAGGAUGGGUGGUAAUGAGCCAUAUUUACAGGCUCUGCAGGGCGCCUUCCUGAGGUGUCCUGGUUUUUCCUUAGGAUGAGAUAUGACAAUGUUUGCCUUGGGGCGAAUCACCUUUUGUUUUUGGGAAGGGGAAGCCUGGGUCAUAGGAGCUGGGGUUCAUGUUGGGGUCAAAAUAUUUCCCAUUUGAUUUCAUGAUUUGACAAUUAUAUGAAAUAAAAUGAAAAAUAAAAUAAAGUUGGAAUAUAAACCCU